rnacentral:lncRNA from 1 species
GCUUCUUCUGUUACAACUGCUGCUUCUUCUGUUACAACUGCUGCUUCUUCUGUUACAAGCUCGAAGUCAUGGGAAGAUUUCCGAAAGUAUCGCUCCCAGCAUCCAGGCCCUCUAUCUAUGAGGGCCUUCCAUCGCUGGUGUUUGUAUGGGGACGACCAUCCCUCCUUUAGAUGGAGGGAUGGCACCCCAUACAACACGGGGAAUAGAGCGGAUGCUGGGAGGAGAAGACAACGUGGCUCAAAAGUUGUCAAUAAUUUUUUUUACAUUUU